GUCUCCGGCCACACCACCCUUAACGCGCCCGAUCUCUGAUCUUGGAAGCUAAGCAGGGACAGGCUUGGUUAGUACUUGGAUGGGAGACUGCCUGGGAAUACCGGGUGCUGUAGGCU
ensembl:rRNA 5S_rRNA 5S ribosomal RNA